rnacentral:rRNA from 1 species
GUCAGAAUAUAGUCAAUGCUCGUAAGAGUGACAGCUAACUGGAAUCAUAAGUGUGUCACUUAUGAUAAUGUAAAGAAAAAUAAUGAUACGACUUUACUAUUAGUGUUGUCCAAAGCUGGUGCCAGAAGACUCGGUAAGGCCAGAGACGCGAGCGUUAAUCAUCUUGAUCAGGCGUAAAGGGUUUGUAGGCAGCUUUAAAAUGUAGGCUGCUGUACUAAAUAUUACAGCUAGAAUCAUAUAGAGGUCACUGUCAGAGAACUCUUGGAGUAGGGUUGAUAUCUUUUAAUACCAAGAGGAAUAUUCAUUAGCGAAGGCACUUUACCAAAUAAUGAUUGACGCUGAGAAACGAAGGUGAGGAUCGACAAUAGGAUUAGAUACCCUGGCAUCCCUCUCUGUCAACGAUGAAUGGUAGUUGCUAGCUUUAUAUAGUUAGUGGCGAUGUUAACACGUUAACCAUUCCGCCUUGUGAGUACAAUUGCAAAGUUGAAAACAAAAAAAUUAGUCGGUUUCGGAGCAAACGAAGUGAAGCAUGUUAUUUAAUUCGAUAUUCCGCA